CAGUUUUAGUUCUCUGCUAACGAGAUGCGAGAGCCAUCACCUUGGUCCUGAGUCCUGACUGCAGAGGAUGUACAUACUGUCUGGUAGUUGGGAAUUUGGGAUGUUAAUUUUGUUCCCCUCCUCUAAUAGUAGGUCAACGCAUUCCCUCAAAAAGAAACCAUGAUUUCCUGCUGCUAGCAACGAACAAUGUUUUUGUUUUUCGCGUAUAGUGGGCCUACACGUUUCCUCCAUUGUCAGUUUGGUAUGUACAAGAAUGAAUAAAUGCUUGAAGCGUCUGUACCUCUGUACUUUUCUUGCCAUUUUAGUUGCAUCAGUGCUCUGAAUCAGGAAGGAAUCUUUGUAUUGUUUCGUGCAACUUCUUCAGCAAUCCAGUAAAUGUGAAUUACUGUGCGCCAGUCGCUGACAAUCCUUAAUGAUUGUGUUUGCUCUGCUAGAAAGGCAGAAACAAUUUGCAAAUUUCACGCUUAGGUGGGUUAUCUUGGGAUAAUGCAUGUCAUGGCUGCCUCAGUAAUUUUGACUCUUACACAAGGACCUUAUUUUUUCUUUUAGAAGUAAUUCAUAGCAAAUUUGCCUCUUACAGAAGUAGCUUAUUUUUUCUUUUAGAAGUAAUUCAUAGAUAGUUACUUAGCAAAAUGUUUUGCCGUCACUGCUUUUGUAGCUUGCCUUGUAAAAUUGGUGGGUAGAAGUAGACUUUAUGGUUAUAGAUCAUUAGAAGGGUUGACUUGGUGUUAAGGUAGUUAACAUAACUACUAAUAAGUACCUAAUUGAAGCUACUCUUGUAAUCAUCGGCAUCGCUGCUCUAAAAUUUUGGAUUAACUUUGCUUGGAUAGGAGGACAUCUUGACAUGAAAACUCCCAACCUUUAAUAAAAGUGGGAGUCCAUUUCUACCUUUAUUUAUGUAUGACAGAAGACUCCCUACUUUUGUGUCAUCCAUUAACAUGUAUUCAUAAAUAUUACCUUCGUUGGUCGUUGGUUUUGUUAUGUGUCCACAUAUUUGUUUCCUCCAAAUGUUUGAUGGCAAACUUAGAUAUGUAACCUAAUUUGUCUGUUAUGAAGUUGCAUGUACUUCCUUUUCAUUCUAGUUCUGACCCCAAAUGUAUACUGCUGGAUCCAGCUAAGUCUUGGUUAGACAUGUGGAAUGAUCCACAUGAAAAACAUGAUCCUCUUCAGCACAAUUGGAGGCAAUAAGCAGGAUACGCUGAGAAAGAUUCUUGAACUUAAUGCCGAUUCUGAGUAUCUGAAUCGCUUCAAUCUUGAAAGGAGAACAGAUUCCAAGAGCUUCAAAUCCUGCAUUCCCCUAUGUGUGCAUAGUGACAUAGAGUCCUACAUCCAACGGAUAACUGCUGGAGACAACUCACUGGUGCUAACUGGGAAGCCCAUCACUUCUCUCUCCGUAAGUUCUGGUACGACACAGGGAAAACCCAAGUUGUUGCCAUUCAAUGACGAAUUGCUUGAGUACAAUUCAAAUAUUCCGAACCUCAUAUGCUUUUAGAAACCGUGAAUAUCCUAUUGGUAAUGGAAAAGCUUUGCAGUUUGUUUACGGGAGCAAGCAAGUCUUUACCCAAGGGGGCAUUCUUGCUACAACUGCGACGACAAAUUUGUACAGGAGUUGGCGUUUCAAGGAAGCCAUGAAGGAUAUCAUGUCUCAGUGCUGCAGUCCUGAUGAAGUCAUCUUUGGUCCCGACUUUCAUCAGUCUUUGUACUGCCAUCUAUUAUGCGGGUUGAUGUACUCAGAUGAAGUUCAGUUUGUUUUCUCACCAUUUGCACACAGCCUUGUUCAUGCAUUUCAUACCCUCGUGGAGGUAUGGGAAGAUCUAUGUGCUGAUAUAAGACAUGGUGUUCUCUCAAAGCGAAUUACCACACCAUCUAUCCGUCAAGCUGUUUUGAAAAUCUUGAGGCCAAAUCCGGAGCUUGCUAGCGCCAUUUACAAUAAGUGCCAGAAUUUGAGUAGUUGGUAUGGGGUAAUCCCAGCACUGUGGUCAAAUGCGAAGUACAUCUAUGGCAUCAUGACAGGGUCCAUGGAACCAUACCUUAAGAAAUUGAGACAUUAUGCUGGACACUUACCACUGAUGAGUGCUGACUACGGUGCAUCCGAAGGAUGGGUUGGCUCUAAUGUAAACCCGACCCUGCCACCUGAGGAGGUGACAUAUGCCGUUCUUCCGAAUAUUGCUUAUUUUGAGUUCAUUCCUUUGGAAAAACCAAAAGGGGAGGAAAUGGAGAACAGUUCAUCUAUUCACUACAUAGAGUCAGAACCUGUAGGCUUAACUGAAGUUGAGGUUGGCAAAAUUUAUGAAGUUGUAAUAACCAACUUUGCAGGUCUAUACCGAUACAGGCUGGGAGAUAUUGUGAAGAUAGCGGGCUUCCACAACUCGACACCAGAGCUCCAGUUCAUCUGUCGCAGAAGCCUAGUCCUGAGCAUCAACAUCGACAAGAACACGGAGAAAGACCUGCAGCUGGCCGUUGAAGAGGCGGAGAAGCUCUUGGCCGAAGAGAAGCUCGAGGUGGUGGACUUCACGAGCCUCGUGGACAGAGCAAGCGACCCAGGGCACUAUGUCAUCUUCUGGGAGCUGAGCUCCGGUAAUGCCAGCGAGGAGCUCCUGAGCAGCUGCGUGAACAGCAUGGACCUUGCCUUUGUGGACGCCGGGUACGUCGGCUCGAGGAAGAUCAAGACCAUCGGCGCCCUCGAGCUGCGCGUCCUCCGCAAGGGCACCUUUGGGCAGGUCAUGAACCACUACCUGAGCCUCGGUGGCGCCGUGAGCCAGUUCAAGACGCCGCGGUUCGUGAGCCAGUCCAACAGCAAGGUGCUGCAGAUACUGAACAGGAACGUCACCCAGAGCUACUUCAGCACUGCGUAUGGGAUCUGAUCGUUGCUAUACACACGUGUACUGAUAGCUGAAAUUCAGUUAUCUUCUUAUUAUCGUCUUUGAUCCUUUGAUCUCUUUAUCUGGUCAGGUGAAAGUAUUUCGUGGACGAUCCAUCAGUUUGAGGCCUUGCUUGGGGGUAGCACAACUGAUAGAUGUAUAUUGUCAGUAGGUCUUAUGUAAAAAUAGCUGUUUGACAGUGUAAUGUAGCUGUGAUGUAUGGCUGCUGCAUUUAGCAUGCAGCCGUUAUCACUCAGGAAAAUUCAAAAAGAUAGCUUGUGUUCUGAAGCAAAAAAAUUGUACUAGUACUAGAAGCCAAUUCAGUGGGUCCCGCCACACUCUCCAUGA